CACAAAACAGUCUUUAUGCCACAUUCUGAA
rnacentral:piRNA from 1 species